rnacentral:lncRNA from 1 species
CGCAGAUGUGCAAUUCGGGUCCCUCAGUAUAACUCUCCAGGUUGCCAUCACCACCUACUCGUCGCCCAUAUUGGAAUCGAACAACCUGCAGGAGAUGAACACUACUGAGAAAAUCGUGCUGGCGUUCAAGCAGAUCACCACUGCGUCCGACAACCUCCGCAAGGAAGUGCAGCUGAUCAACAUCAUCAAUGCUCCUCUCCAGGGCUUCAAGAUUGCUGAGGGAUUCGCUAAAAUCAUCAGCGCCAUCGCCGAGUACACGAUCAAGAUUAACGAGGGUGGCGUCAAGAACUACAACAGUCCUUUGCCAGACGCGGACGCCCAGAUCGUGGUGCAAUCCCUGACGACCUUCGUGCAAGUGCACCAGGCAUUGCUCAAUGUGGUGAUCGGCAAGCACGGCCUCCUUACUUUGAUCCCGUUCUUCGAGCCCAUCAGGUUGUCGCUGGUGUCCCUGGAAGCAACCAUAGACGCCUUCGCGUUUGCCCUCAUAGCCGAAAUCCCCACCCAGAAGCCCGCCGCAGAUGUGCAAUUCGGGUCCCUCAGUGUAACCCUCCAGGUUGCCAUCACCACCUACUCGUCGCCCAUAUUGGAAUCGAACAACCUGCAGGAGAUGAACACUACUGAGAAAAUCGUGCUGGCGUUCAAGCAGAUCACCACUGCGUCCGACAACCUCCGCAAGGAAGUGCAGCUGAUCAACAUCAUCAAUGCUCCUCUCCAGGGCUUCAAGAUUGCUGAGGGAUUCGCUAAAAUCAUCAGCGCCAUCGCCGAGUACACGAUCAAGAUUAACGAGGGUGGCGUCAAGAACUACAACAGUCCUUUGCCAGACGCGGACGCCCAGAU